rnacentral:rRNA from 1 species
UACGGAGGAUCCGAGCGUUAUCCGGAUUUAUUGGGUUUAAAGGGUGCGCAGGCGGGAAAUUAAGUCGGCGGUGAAAUUUUGCGGCUCAACCGUAAAAGUGCCUUCGAUACUGGUUUCCUUGAGUGUGGAUGAAGUAGGCGGAAUUUGUGGUGUAGCGGUGAAAUGCUUAGAUAUCACGAGGAACUCCGAUUGCGCAGGCAGCUUACUAAACCACUACUGACGCUCAGGCACGAAGGCGUGGGGAUCAAACAGGAUUAGAUACCCGGGUAGUCCCUGAG